UUUCUCGGCUGGCUAUCGACCGGGCUGUGACAUGGUAGAUCAAUACGGCAGGGAUAUAAAGCCGGCUGGCUGCCUGCCUGCCUCUGUCUCUCUCUCUCUCUCCCUUGCUUGCCUUGCUUCCCUUUCCCCGAGCCGCAUCCAGGCCUCCCAACCCCCAAAUGUACCCCUCACCCCAGCCUCUGAGGGGCCAGGGUCCCCCCAGCUCCCUACAGUGGGAGAGCUUAGGGGGGCUGACAGCUUGGACAGCCAGGAGAGGGGCUCCCUGCUAAUGUGCCCGAGAGGCAGCCUCUGCCACCCACAUGGGAAACUUGGAUAGAAUUCCUGGCUCCUGACUUUGGCCUGGUCCUGCACAUCCCACGUCAGAGCGCCUGGGCUCCACUUCCAGCUCUGGCUCCUGACUCCAGCUUCCUGCUAACGCAGAUCCUGGGAAGCAGUGAUGUAACAAGUGACUGAGUUCCUGCCAACCAUGUUGGGAACCCUGAAUUGAAUUCCUGGCUCCUGGCUCCUGGCUCCUUGCUCCUGGCUCCUGGCUCCGGCUACAGUUCCAGUCCCAGUUAUUAUGGACAUUUGGAGAAUGAACCAAAGAAUGGAAACUC